UCCAUUUGGCUGGAGGGACCCUCACUUAGGGCUCUGGUGUUCAGCUCAGCAUAAGUCACUCCAUGGGGUUCCUCAGCUCUUGAGACCUGGGAUGUUUUAAUCUCAAGGGAAGCAAGGAGAAAAGGAUCAAGUAUUCCCUGGAAAGAAUGUUGGAUUGUGAAGAUUUAGCAUUUGUAACAACAGUGUGGUAGACAGCUGUGUUAGAAAGAGCCUCCUGCCCUUUGAGUCUUGGUGCAGUCCCCUACCCUCUUGAAGGUUGGUGGGACCUAGGGACAUGCAUCUGUCAAACAGAGUAAGUGAAAAGGAUGGGCUGUCCUGUGUCUUUGUGUCCAAGACUAGGUGGUGAAAGACUGACUUCUGUCUUGUUCACACCUGUCUAUUUUCAGGUCCCUCGCUCAUGCUGAUCAAGCCAGCUGCUGGGUUACGAUCUGUCCUAUGGAAAGGCCCAUAUGGUCAGGGUGGUCUCUGGCCAGCAGCCAGCAAGGAACUGAAUCCUGCCAGCCACCACCUGAGUGAGUGAGUGAGUGUGGAAACAAAUCCAAGCCUGAACCAGCCCUGGCCAACCCCUUCAUGCCAGCCCGUGAGACCAAUCUGUUGUUUUCCUGAACUCACCACAUCGGGUGUAUUUGCAGAUGAGGAAGGUUCCAAGGAGGAAGAGAAAGAUGAAGAUGACAAUGAGGGUGAUCCCAGUGGUCCCUGGGGAGAGGUGAGGGGUUAAGAGGGCUCACGGUUUCCUGGGACACUCUCUGGUGCCUCAGUGUGUCUCCAUCGAUCAAGUUCCUACCACGUGCUGGAGAGCUCACUACGUUAUUUUCAUACUUACGAGUAUCCUGGGAGAGAGACAGAGUGAUGCACAUUUUACAGAUGCAGAAGCUGAACGUCAGAGGGUUGAAGUACUAUUUCCAAAGUGGCCCAGCUACCGAGGAGGCAGAGCUCUGCCUCUGAUCCUCCCCACCUCGGAAGACCUUGCACUGAGCCACAGCCUUCAGGCAUCACCAACAGAUAGACAGACAUCCUCGAGAAUUUUCCCAGAGCUGUUCUGGCUACGAGUUGACCAAAGCAGAAGAAGCAGACCCCUGAGACCAUCUGAAGACCCCACCUCCUCCCCCAGCCCUGAGCUUCCAAGAAGGCAGCAGGCCUGGGAAGUUUGUUCACUCCGGACCACUGUUUCCUCUGUUCCCUGUGGUAUCACCUGUAGCUCCUCACCUCUCUGUCCUGUGGAGCCACACCGUCAGGAAGUGGGACACUGUUCGACUCAACCACCUCCUGUCUACUCACCCUCCCCUCCUACCCCCUGCCAGGUACAUUCUGCUCUCCUCUAAACCAGAGACUGCAUUGAUCUCAUUCCAACUUUAGAAAUGCUGAGUAAACCCCACGAGCCCUCAGGCUCCUAGGGUCUGGCUCUGAAGAAAUCGCUGGGAAACUGGAGACAAAUCAAACUUCAGGAUAAAAGGGAAAAAAAACCCAAAACACCACAAGUGACCUUGAAGGAAGACAGUACUCUGGCCCCACCAACUCCAGCUGCUGCCGCAGCCCAGCCCCACCCAUCCAGUGGCUGCCCUCCUCCAUGACUUACCAGUGCAGAGCAGAGCCAAGAGUUGGGGCAUCAUGGUGGCACCCACAAGCCUCUUCCAAG